GACGAACGCUGGCGGCGUGCUUAACACAUGCAAGUCGAACGGAAAGGCCAUGCUUUUGUGGGGUGCUCGAGUGGCGAACGGGUGAGUAACACGUGAGUAACCUGCCCUUGACUUUGGGAUAACUUCAGGAAACUGGGGCUAAUACCGGAUAGGAGCUCCUGCUGCAUGGUGGGGGUUGGAAAGUUUCGGCGGUUGGGGAUGGACUGGCGGCUUAUCAGCUAGUUGGUGGGGUAGUGGCUUACCAAGGCUUUGACGGGUAGCCGGCAUUGGAGGGUGACCGGCCACAUUGGGACUGAGAUACGGCCCAGUCGGCUACGGGACGCAGCGGUGGGAAAUAUUGCACAAUGGGCGGAAGCCUGAUGCAGCAACGCCGCGUGCGGGAUGACGGCCUUCGAGUUGUAAACCGCUUUCGCCUGUGACGAAGCGGGAGUGACGGUAAUGGGUAAAGAAGCACCGGCUAACUACGUG
rnacentral:rRNA from 1 species